rnacentral:miRNA from 1 species
CUAAGUACUAGUGCCGCGGGAG